rnacentral:misc_RNA from 1 species
GGGUGUUACAAUUGAAUUUGACAUCCCUCGAAAAGCAUUGUCAUCCACCGCUUCGCGUCGGUUGACAAUGGGUUUUCUCGGGGUUUCAAUUGCAGGAAGUCUUCUAACAUUCCGAAUCCUUGAUUUACAUUUAAACCAUUGCUUGUUAUUUGUUGUCUGAUUACGGGAGCUCAUUUCAACUAUUACAUAAAACAUUCUAAAACCGAAGGUUGCCAAAAUAUCCAAAAUGUCAUUUCUGGAUUACAAACAAACUAUAGGACCAUUGUGUAAGUGAAACAAACGAAUACAUGUAGUUUUAAUUGUCUCCUUUGUUCUUUGUUGGGUUUGAGUUGUCAAACCGGACCCUGUUUAUUUUGUAAUCUUUAAAUCUACAGUUAAAACUUGGAUUUAGCAAAUUGGAAGACCUGUUUCAGAAAUGAAAAGUUCUCCAGUACUCUAUAUAUAAUAUUAUGGUGUUACUUAAGCAAGUUCUGUAUCUCCAUACAUAAUGUGAUACCAGUAGUCUUUUAUAACAACAGUUAUUCAGUUUAUUUUGAUUUGACCUUGGGUUGUUUUAACCCUCUGUUCGGUAAAUGCCAGUAUAUAUACCCAAUCAGAGUAAAUAUUGUACAGAUGUACCGUAAAGCCCCGUGAUUAUUGUAAUUGAUAACUCCAUGAUGAUCACAUGGAUCAUUUAAGCUUUAUUGUUUUUUUAUUCGUUUAUUGCUAAUAAACAAUUUUUGAC